rnacentral:sRNA from 1 species
UUGUUGCGGACAGAUAAAGUGAAUAUGCGUAUCAACACCACCUGCGGUAACAAUCUUACCUUCACCCGCAACUACUUCUGUAGCAGGCCCAACAAUAAUAUCCACAUUGGGUUGCACAUCCGGAUUACCCGCUUUGCCAAUACCGACAAUACGGCCAUCCUUAAUACCGAUAUCCGCUUUGACUAUACCCCAAUGGUCUAAAAUAAUGGCAUUAGUGAUAAGGACAUCGACACACGCCGCAUUCACAACUUGACUCUGCCCCAUGCCAUCAC